rnacentral:rRNA from 1 species
UACAGAGGGUGCAAGCGUUAAUCGGAAUUACUGGGCGUAAAGCGUGCGUUGACGGUUAUUUAAGUCGGGUGUGAAAGCCCCGGGCUCAACCUGGGAAUUGCAUUCGAGACUGAAUAGCUAGGGUGCGGAAGAGGGAAGCGGAAUUUCCGGUGUAGCGGUGAAAUGCGUAGAUAUCGGAAGGAACACCAGUGGCGAAAGCGGCUCACUGGCCGGAAUCUGACACUGAGGUGCGAAAGCUAGGGUAGCAAACAGG